rnacentral:rRNA from 1 species
CCUACGGGGGGCAGCAGUGGGGAAUAUUGCACAAUGGAGGAAACUCUGAUGCAGCGAUGCCGCGUGAGGGAAGAAGGUUUUCGGAUUGUAAACCUCUGUCUUAAGGGACGAUAAUGACGGUACCUUAGGAGGAAGCUCCGGCUAACUACGUGCCAGCAGCCGCGGUAAUACGUAGGGAGCGAGCGUUGUCCGGAAUUACUGGGUGUAAAGGGAGUGUAGGCGGGAUGGUAAGUUAGGUGUGAAAUGCGGAGGCUCAACCUCCGAGCUGCACUUAAAACUGCUGUUCUUGAGUGAAGUAGAGGUUGGCGGAAUUCCCAGUGUAGCGGUGAAAUGCGUAGAUAUUGGGAGGAACAUCAGUGGCGAAGGCGGCCAACUGGGCUUUUACUGACGCUGAGGCUCGAAAGCGUGGGGAGCAAACAGGAUUAGAUACCCCAGUAGU